rnacentral:lncRNA from 1 species
GCGAAACUGCAGCCACGAAUCUGAAGACUAUUGUUUCAUAAGGUACCUGUGGUUGGGAGGGGACAAGACCUGGAAAGAGCUGCAGAGGCCGGGCUACUUACUUUGAAGAGCCCAGGGAAAUUAUCUCUGACCUCACAGCCCGUCUCUAGGAGGGGGCGUGGCUCCAUUGAUUACUCUGCAGCUAUUUUGAGUAAUGAGAUGGAGCUCCUGCACAGCAAGAGGAGGGGCUUGACCUUCUUGCUGUCAGCAGAACCAACACUGUCUGGAGGCAUCAUCCCAGGGCGACAUGAAGAAAGUUCCAGAAAUACUGUUAACAUCCACUGCCCCACCAACACGCCCACGCUGUGGAGACAGUAGUUGUCGAGGCUGCAGAAAAUUUAUUACCAGUGUCGCGGUGUUUGCUAAGACAGAAAGCUUCCAUCUCAUGCUUUUGAGUUCACCAGAGAAUAAAAUUUGAUCAUUACCAUGCUUGUCUGAAACUAGAUUAAUAAAGGC